rnacentral:rRNA from 1 species
AUUGAACGCUGGCGGCAUGCCUUACACAUGCAAGUCGAACGGCAGCAUGUUCUAGCUUGCUAGAUUGAUGGCGAGUGGCGAACGGGUGAGUAAUACAUCGGAACGUGCCCUGUAGUGGGGGAUAACUAGUCGAAAGAUUAGCUAAUACCGCAUACGACCUGAGGGUGAAAGUGGGGGACCGCAAGGCCUCAUGCUAUAGGAGCGGCCGAUGCCUGAUUAGCUAGUUGGUGAGGUAAAGGCUCACCAAGGCGACGAUCAGUAGCUGGUCUGAGAGGACGAUCAGCCACACUGGGACUGAGACACGGCCCAGACUCCUACGGGAGGCAGCAGUGGGGAAUUUUGGACAAUGGGGGCAACCCUGAUCCAGCAAUGCCGCGUGUGUGAAGAAGGCCUUCGGGUUGUAAAGCACUUUUGUCCGGAAAGAAAUCGCACUUACUAAUAUUAGGUGUGGAUGACGGUACCGGAAGAAUAAGGACCGGCUAACUACGUGCCAGCAGCCGCAGUAAUAC